CUACCAGACUCCUACGGGAGGCAGCAGUGGGGAAUAUUGCACAAUGGGCGAAAGCCUGAUGCAGCAACGCCGCGUGAAGGAAGACGGUUUUCGGAUUGUAAACUUCUGUUCUUAGUGAAGAAUAAUGACGGUAACUAAGGAGCAAGCCACGGCUAACUACGUGCCAGCAGCCGCGGUAAUACGUAGGUGGCAAGCGUUGUCCGGAAUUACUGGGUGUAAAGGGAGCGUAGGCGGGCUUGUAAGUUGAAUGUCUAAUCCACCGGCUCAACCGGUGAUCGCGUUCAAAACUGCAGGUCUUGAGUGAAGUAGAGGCAGGCGGAAUUCCUAGUGUAGCGGUGAAAUGCGUAGAUAUUAGGAGGAACACCAGUGGCGAAGGCGGCCUGCUGGGCUUUAACUGACGCUGAGGCUCGAAAGCGUGGGGAGCAAACAGGAUUAGAUACCCGCGUA
rnacentral:rRNA from 1 species